rnacentral:tRNA from 1 species
GCGGGUGUAACUCAGUUGGUAGAGUAGCAGCUUCCCAAGCUGCCUGUCGCGCGUUCGAAUCGCGUCACCCGCU